GUCGCCUGUUUUUCUUUCCAAGUUGAGCGAAGGACUUCAGGUGGGCAAUAUUUUGAGUAUACAUAUAUCAUACGAGCUUUCUAAACUGUUUUGAUGAUGUUAUGAGUUUAUCAAAUGUUUUGAGAUAAAUGAUGUUUGAGAACUGUUUGACUUGCCGAUUUUUGUUGAUAAUGACUUGUGUGUUACCCUCUACUGAUGAGACGAAUUCGGUCCUGCCACAAGCGGGAUUUUGUGCACAGAGGUGACUGCGAGCCGUCUUCGGGUCGGCCGGUCACGGUACUUGAGAGGGAGGCCUACUUCUCAGUACCUUUGAUGAUGAUGAGUUGUAGAUGUGGUGCAUACAUGUUGAGAUCUUUGACUGCAGUCGUUUCUUUAUGAUGUCAUGUUUAUUAAAACUGCUUACACAGGUUCAUUUACGCUAAUUUUAUUCCUGUGUAUUGCUGAGAUGUGGCAAGUUUCAAACCUAUAGCUCUAAGAGCACCUUUCUUAUUUUUCGGCGUUUGCCCACUGAGUAUUAUGUACUCACGCCCUGCAUGUAUUUCUAAAUGUGCAGGCUAAGCAAGGAGCGAGAUUGGUCUGGUGCUGGUGGGGGAAACGUUUCAAUCGACGUGUUUAUAUUUUUGUAUUGCCUUUUUGUUAAUAGAGUCUUGACAAUUGAGAUACUUUGCUUUCUUUUGAAAUCAAGCAAUUUACUCUCGGUUAUAUGUCUUCAUACAUAUAAUCGAUUCGCCUUUUGCUGCGAUACUCUGAAUAUUA
rnacentral:lncRNA from 1 species